UACGGGGGGGUAAGCGUUGUUCGGAAUUACUGGGCGUAAAGGGCUCGUAGGCGGCCAACUAAGUCAGACGUGAAAUCCCUCAGCUUAACUGGGGAACUGCGUCUGAUACUGGAUGGCUUGGAUUCGGGAGAGGAAUGCGGAAUUCCAGGUGUAGCGGUGAAAUGCGUAGAUAUCUGGAGGAACACCGGUGGCGAAGGCGGCGUCUGGGCUGGAACUGACGCUGAGGAGCGAAAGCGUGGGGGAGCGAACAGG
rnacentral:rRNA from 1 species